UACAGAGGUCUCAAGCGUUGUUCGGAUUCAUUGGGCGUAAAGGGUGCGUAGGUGGCGGGGUUAGUCAGGUGUGAAAUCUCGGGGCUCAACCCCGAAACUGCACUUGAUACUGCCUUGCUAGAGUACUGGAGAGGAGAUUGGAAUUUACGGUGUAGCAGUGAAAUGCGUAGAUAUCGUAAGGAAGACCAGUGGCGAAGGCGAAUCUCUGGACAGUUACUGACACUGAGACGCGAAAGCGUGGGGAGCAAACAGG
rnacentral:rRNA from 1 species